AUGGUGAUCAUCCUGCUCCUCCUCCUACUCACACCGUCUCUGGCAGCCGCCGACGUGUUCUGCGACAACGUCAAGGCCAUCGCCACCACUCUCUCCAAGAACACCGCCUCUUCCCCGGUACACUUCGCCACCAAGACCUUUGGCGGCGCCCCCAACGUCGUCUUCGCGCUCGCGCUCUGCCGCGGCGACGUCGUCGAUGGCCCCGCCUGCGGUGACUGCAUCGCCAACUGGUUCGGCAAGGCGCUGAACCAGACGAGGUGCGACAAGGCCCGCUCCAGCUACGGCGACUGUAUCGUCGUCUAUAGCGCCGGCUAUGACAUCCUAGCGGUGCCAUCGAAUACCACGGGAGGGUACGGCGACAACACGCCGCCAUUCCAGCAGUGGAACAUCAAGAACCUCACCACCGGCGACGUCCCCCUCGUCCAUGAGCUGCUGGUGGAGACUGCUGAGAAGGCGGCCACCACGCCGCCGAGGCUGUAUGCCACCGGCGUCAUGGACAUAGACGAGGUGACGACCUACCCGAAGGUGUACUCCCAGGCGUAG
rnacentral:rRNA from 1 species